ensembl:lncRNA
GUCUGGUCUAACACAGGUGUCAGUAACAUCACUAACGACUUCCUACUGGGACGCUGCAGUGACGCACAGCCCUGAUCGGCGUUAUUAGUUCCACCUGUGCAGGUCACAACGCCUGCUGUGAGAUCUGCUUUUUACAUCACUAAGAUUCUUGUCAAGCAAACUGUGCGCUCAAUACAGGCCUUGCAGCGUGAAAACCAGGUGCGUAAUGCAGGACACGAACUCUGGUGAAUCCUGCCUUCUGCCCCCCCAGUCCUGCAGGGUUCAUGCAGAGUGACACCGCCAGGCACCACCGUGCUGUCAUACCGACUGUCCUGGAGGAGGCGCUGAAGCCUGCAGACAUCGACUGUGUGUCUUACACCAACGCGAAUAUCUCCUCACAGUCCGCCAGCUGGACUUCUGUGUGUGCUCGUGCACAGAUGAGGGGGAAAGGGAAUGACCCCGAUUGGCUGUUCAGUUUAAGCGAAUCGAUUGCACGAGGAGAGAAACGGACGUGAGGAAAACAAACGACUAAAGUCAAGAUGUCUCUGACUAAAAAGGUCCAGUCCCAAAAGAUCCACACUGCGCAGCACUGCGAGCUCUCAUCAUGUAUAAUGGCCUUAGCAGCUAAAUGAUUUCACAAUCUUAUCUGGGCCGCUAAUAAACCUGCCAGAGUUCAGAGAUGUCUGCUAAGGCUGAAUAAUUCAGAGGAAGCUCUUACAGAUGAAUCGGCAGAGAGCAGAUACAGUUAGACUUUGAUGGUAACUAUUGAUGAAGAAACCUAUAUGGGAUUUAUUUGGGCUGAGGCAGAAAAAAGAAAACUACAGCUACUCUGUUCAGCCAAAUGAUCUCUCUCUUCUUACUCCCAUGUUUCUACUGCUUCCCCUCCGCUAUUAACACCCCUCCAUUAAAGUGAAAUAUCAGAUGUGGUUCAACAUGAACAUUAACAGAGCUCCCAUGACAUCAGCUCUCUGGUUUGGCCAAAAAAAGCCUCAAUCUUUGGCACAAAAACAUCGACUCAGCAAGUGUUUUGUGGGUUUAUAGAGCGAAAGUCUUCCUACUGUAGCGAAUAGCUUUUAGUGUUCUUGUAAUACCUUAGAUAAACUUGUAGUACUUUUUCUUUUAUGUACAUUUUGGCAGAAGUUGUGAACUCCUACAUUUAAAACGGACUACAAAAGCUGUCCAACUCUUUUGCAGUAAAUCGCUCUUUGUGCACUUUAUUUUCUAUUUUUUGUUUAUUAAAGAUAUAGUUUUUUAUUAACUCUUUCAUUAAGUAGGUAUAAUCCAUCUGUAUUUCUUCUUUGGUUGGACACUACUGAUUUUUAAAAUUAUUUUAAUGUUCUAAAUUAUUAACACUAAUUGAAAAAUUCUAAGGCUUUUUAUAUAACUGUUUUUAUUUUACUUUAUUACCCUACUUUAUCAAAUUAAUUUCCUGGAAAGUGUUAAUGGCUUUUAUAAUGGUAUUGCUUGUUAUGUUUCUUUUCCUUUUUUGUUUUUGUAAUUGACUCGAUGUCAUUGUCAAUGAGGGUCGCCCCUCGAUACUCUGUCGAGUAUAAAUAACGGUUGAAUUAAUGAAUGCAUGUUUCCAUCUGGGCUUAUUGGCAUCAUAAGCAAAUAGAUAAUGUAGGCUGGUACAAAUCAGACUUGGAACCGGCAUCCACCCACACCAUGUGUUUUUGUUGUCGUGUCUCUUCGGGGGAGUUGCCCCGAGUCAUAUUACCUCGUUCAACACAUCAUUAAGUCACGUUAUAUUAGUCCCUGUCAUGUUACACGCAAAAUAUUCUUCAUGUUACCGCAUGUUGCAUGUUUUUACACGCAUGUAAAGUAUAUGAAUAUAGAUAUAUAUUUCCCUUUAUGUCUUUCAUCGGAGAGGCAGGCAGGGUCAGAGCUGGGUCAGAGGCGGGCGGGGUCAGAG